CGUCAAGUCAUCAUGGCCCUUAUGCCCAGGGCCACACACGUGCUACAAUGGGCGGUACAGAGCGAGGCGAGGCCGCGAGGCCGGAGCGAAGCGCGAAAGCCGCCCGUAGUCCGGAUUGAAGUCUGAAACCCGACUUCAUGAAGCUGGAAUCGCUAGUAAUCGCGCAUCAGCACGGCGCGGUGAAUACGUUCCCGGGCCUU
rnacentral:rRNA from 1 species